GAUGAACGCUGGCGGCGUGCCUAACACAUGCAAGUCGAGCGAUUUACUUCGGUAAAGAGCGGCGGACGGGUGAGUAACGCGUGGGUAACCUGCCCUGUACACACGGAUAACAUACCGAAAGGUAUGCUAAUACGAGAUAAUAUACUUUUAUCUCAUGGUAGAAGUAUCAAAGCUCUGGCGGUACAGGAUGGACCCGCGUCUGAUUAGCUAGUUGGUAAGGUAACGGCUUACCAAGGCGACGAUCAGUAGCCGACCUGAGAGGGUGAUCGGCCACAUUGGAACUGAGACACGGUCCAAACUCCUACGGGAGGCAGCAGUGGGGAAUAUUGCACAAUGGGCGAAAGCCUGAUGCAGCAACGCCGCGUGAGCGAUGAAGGCCUUCGGUCGUAAAGCUCUGUCCUCAGGAAGAUAAUGACGGUACUUGUAGGAGGAAGCCCCGGCCUAACUAACGUGCCAGCAGCCGCGGUAA
rnacentral:rRNA from 1 species